rnacentral:lncRNA from 1 species
GAAGAAAUGAGGUUUACUGUAAAGAAUCCGUAGUCGAUUUCAGAGCAUCUGUCAGUGCAGUGAAGUGGGCCACGUAGUCUGGUGGAAACAUUCCGGAAGCCUGCACUUGGGAGGCAGAGGCAGACAGUUCAAAUGUGCUGGGCUGCACUGCAAGAUUUGCAUUAAGAGACAUAAGUUAAGCGGACCAGGUCUCAUAAAGUGUGUCAGUGAGCCUCAGCCUCCACACUAGCCGGCCCUGAGCAGUCUCAGGCUCCCUUUGAGCAAGCAGCAUGUGGGUGGUGCUUUUCCUGACUCCACCCCGCCAGCAGCCCCACUCACCAGUCAGUGCUGAGAGAAGGCAAAAUCUGUUCAGCCACAAAUUGAACCCAGUCUACCCCCUGUCUUCAUGCCAGACGGGAUCCCCACAGGUCAGGGUGGAUGCCCAGUGUCUGCAGUGUGCUGGAAUUCCUCCCCUUCUUGUGUGUCACACUCAUUGCUACCAGGAGCCAGUGUGACCUCUCCAUUCCAGCAGCACCCAGCUGGACCCCUCAGGUCCACCUUAGACUGAGGUGGGGAGCACCUCUCGGGUGUGAAAAUACUUGGCCCCUCAAAGGAUAGUGUUGGCUUUUCCAUGGUCACAACAUCAGGAUUGGGAGCCCUGUGGCUGUCCACUUGAACAUCGUGCUCCUAAACUAGAUAAAGUGAAGGUGUCCUUUAACUUG